UAUACCUGAUUUCCUGCCAGAAAGGUGAAGCAACGGCAACGCCCACUAUUCCCAUGCCGGGAAGAAUCGAAAAGCACCAACCUUUUUGACUUUUGGUGAUAAAGAAGAAAACGAAGAAAAAAGCACCAACACGCGCGCGCGCACACACUCUCACCCUCUUUCCCGUUCCCUUCCGCCAUUAAAAUUCCUCUGAAAACCAGAAGCUUCAUCAUUGAGCUCUAUCGGUUUGUUCAAUUGAAAUGAAGUAUUAUCAACUUGAUUAACCUAAUUUUGAGCGACGAUCACGAAGAUGAUGGUUAACAGUUGAACAUGGUGAUGAUACACGACUCAGGGGAUUCUCUUGUAAUUCGAAGAGGCAGAAGUAGAGAGACUUAUUGGUCGCAUCUCAAUAAUGCUAGAAUGCGGCAUCUAAUUGCAGACAUUAUGGAUGAUCUUGGCAUCUGUGUAUGAUGACCCGUACUUUCCAGACUAAAGAGCAUGCUUUCGUGCAAAUAUGAGAUGUUCAACAGGGCUGGAGAUGUUAGCUUUCGCGUGUAACCAGUUUCGAGCUCAGGAACCAGGAAACAAUCAGCAGAUUGUAGAGUUUGCCUGCACUCGCUUUAAGGCCGAGUAUCCCAUCUUUGACAAGCUGAUCGAUCAGCAAUGGUGUCCUUUAAUAGACGAAAAUCAUCUGAAAUGGUUGAAGAGGAGCCGAAAGAGAAGAAAAUCCCAGUUCUCCCAUGGAUGAGAUCUCCCAUAAAUGUUAAUCUUAUUGAAGAUAUUCUAUUAGAACAUGUUCCUGGACUUGAUCCCAGAUUGGUGGAGGCAUUAAGUAAUAUCAAUGAGAAUUUUACUACAUUGUAUCCAAUUCAAUAUGCAGUAUGGAAACAAACAAUUGGGCCUGGUCAAAUUGAGAGAGAUCUUUGUAUAAAUUCACUAACUGGAAGUGGGAAAACCUUAUCUUACGCAUUGAUAUUAAGAUAAGGAAUCUUAGACGCUUACGCGCGUUAGUCGUCUUUCCUUCCCGUGAUUUGGCAGUGCAGGUAAAAAGUGUGUUCGAAUCUAUAGCACCAGCUGUGGGGUUAAUUGUUGGUUCAGCUAUUGGUGGUAAAAGUAAAAUGUCAAAUGAGAUAUCACAGCUCAUUAAGCGGCCUGCGCUUGAGGCAGGUGUUUGUAUGACCCAGAGAAAGAAUUGGAAAGCGGAGUUGAUAUUUUAGUGGCAACACCUGGAAAACUGAUGAACCAUAUUAACACAACAAAGGGAUUUACUCUUGAGCAUCUUGGAUUUCUUGCAGUUGAUGAAAUAGACAAGCUACUUGGAGAGGAAUAUCAGGAUUUUCUUCAUGCUGUGCUUCAACUGACCCGUUCAGACGAGGAACACCAGUAUUCACAUAUGAGGGCUUCUCAAUCUUUGCUCGGUCCCCUGAGUACUAUAAGAAGAUCGUAAGUUUUAUGCGAUCCCAUUUUGAUACUUAGUUGGUUAAGUCAAUACAUUUUGUCAGUGCUCCUAAGUUUGUUUUAUACAGUACAAACUAUGGGUAACGGCAGAACUAUAGAAAUGGGGUCAUUAUUGCAAAGAAGAAGAGAAGGGGUAUCUCGGGUCAAACUGUGCUUUUCAACACCAGGGUUUCCUGCUUUUACAGCACCAACUUCUGCACAGCCAGAAAACCACAACUUCUGAGCUUUCUAAAAAUUCGUAAGAGGAGAACAUAAGAAAUAUGGUAGCUUACACUCAGACGAACUUGGAGUGCGUUUGAUAUAACGUUGAUGCAAUGAUGAGCGGCGCAAUUAGAAAUGGUAAUAGAUGGAAGCAGAGCUUUUCCUAAAAUCAAAUCAGCAAAUCUGUAGGAAAAACAUGGAUGUUCAGGAAAGGGAACGGAAAAGAACCUCUGGAGGAAAUGGAAAUAAGAAUCUUACUUUUGGCAAUACACCAGUCUGAUAGUAUGCAAGUGAGGUAGGUAUAGUGAGACACAUCUGCCAGUUACACCAUCCGAUAACUAGAAGAAGAAGCUUACUUACCUGCUUGAUUUUCAAAGGCAUUCCAGAAUUGAGGAGCAAUUGGUAAAUUAUUAGAUGCAAAAACAACAGAAUUAGGGAUCUCAGGAAACGCUUACCAGGCUGUAACCUGAUGUUGCAGGUAGAGCUUCCUGAGGGUUGUCGUCAACAAGCAUUUAUAUUACACGUAAAACAUAGUAUAUGGUAUGGGUAAAAGUAUAUAUACUCGCGAUUCAACUGAUUUGGGUCUUUAUGAAAA